GGAGUUGGCCAGGCAAUCGCCUUAGUCCUAGACUACGGAGGAAAGUCCGGGCUCCGCAGGACAGAGUGCCAGGUAACGCCUGGGGGGCGCGAGCCUACGGAAAGUGCAGCAGAAAAUAUACCGCCUGCUUACAGGUAAGGGUGAAAUGGUGCGGUAAGAGCGCACCGCGCUGAUGGCAACACUCAGCGGCAAGGUAAACCCCACUCGGAGCAAGACCAAAUAGGGAAGCAGGUCAGCCUUGCGCUGACAACAUGUGGUCCGCGUGUAGCUUUCGGGUAGGUUGCUUGAGGUGUAUGGUGACGUACACCCUAGAUGAAUGAUUGCCCAUGACAGAACCCGGCUUAUCGGCCGACUCCUUUU
rnacentral:RNase_P_RNA from 1 species